rnacentral:misc_RNA from 1 species
UCUCCGUAGGUGAACCUGCGGAGGGAUCAUUACUGAGUCGUAAAAAACUCCCAACCCAUGUGAAUUUACCUUUGUUGCCUCGGCGGGACCUACCCGGUACCUACCCUGUAGCUACCCUGUAGCCCGCCGGUGGACUAUUAAACUCUUGUUAUUUUAUAGAAAUCUGAGCGUCUUAUUAAAUAAGUCAAAACUUUUAACAACGGAUCUCUUGGUUCUGGCAUCGAUGAAGAACGCAGC